rnacentral:lncRNA from 1 species
GCCCUCUUAUUCUUCACGCGAGAAAUUUUUUUACAUAAAUUUUUCUCAUGUCUAAAAACUUUUUUAUGUCCACAUCUGAUUCUUUUUGAAUUAAAAAUUGGUUGGUUUAAAUUUGAGUUCAAAUGGAUUUGAAUUUGAAUGAAAACCUAGAGUCCAAAUUGAGUUAGACUCUUUUCUUCACGCCACCACCUUUCUCCAUGCAUAAAGUAUUUUUGCAUGAGAUUUUUUAUGCCAUUCUGAUGUUGGUUGACCCCUCUUUGAGUUCAUAAGA